GAGUAACGCGUAUCCAACCUUCCGUACACUCAGGGAUAGCCUUUCGAGAGAAAGAUUAAUACCUGAUGGUAUGAUGAGAUUGCAUGAUAGCAUCAUUAAAGAUUUAUCGGUGUACGAUGGGGAUGCGUUCCAUUAGGUAGUAGGCGGGGUAACGGCCCACCUAGCCGACGAUGGAUAGGGGUUCUGAGAGGAAGGUCCCCCACAUUGGAACUGAGACACGGUCCAAACUCCUACGGGAGGCAGCAGUGAGGAAUAUUGGUCAAUGGACGAGAGUCUGAACCAGCCAAGUAGCGUGAAGGAUGAAGGUCCUACGGAUUGUAAACUUCUUUUAUAAGGGAAUAAACCCUUCCACGUGUGGGAGCUUGUAUGUACCUUAUGAAUAAGCAUCGGCUAACUCCGUGCCAGCAGCCGCGGUAAUACGGAGGAUGCGAGCGUUAUCCGGAUUUAUUGGGUUUAAAGGGAGCGCAGACGGGUCGUUAAGUCAGCUGUGAAAGUUUGGGGCUCAACCUUAAAAUUGCAGUUGAUACUGGCGUCCUUGAGUGCGGUUGAGGUGUGCGGAAUUCGUGGUGUAGCGGUGAAAUGCUUAGAUAUCACGAAGAACUCCGAUUGCGAAGGCAGCACACUAAGCCGUAACUGACGUUCAUGCUCGAAAGUGUGGGUAUCAAACAGGAUUAGAUACCCUGGUAGUCCACCCGGUAAACAAUGGAUACUCGGGGUUGUUUAUAUACCGGGAGUUGUUUUGCCCGGGAGAAAAUUUUUCCGCCCGGAAAUUGUUUUG
rnacentral:rRNA from 1 species